GACGAACGCUGGCGGCGUGCUUAACACAUGCAAGUCGAACGAUGAACUGGAGCUUGCUCCAGGGAUUAGUGGCGAACGGGUGAGUAACACGUGAGUAACCUGCCCUUGACUCUGGGAUAAGCGCUAGAAAUGGCGUCUAAUACCGGAUACGAGCUUCAGCCGCAUGGCUAGGAGUUGGAAAGAAUUUUGGUCAAGGAUGGACUCGCGGCCUAUCAGCUAGUUGGUGAGGUAAUGGCUCACCAAGGCGACGACGGGUAGCCGGCCUGAGAGGGUGACCGGCCACACUGGGACUGAGACACGGCCCAGACUCCUACGGGAGGCAGCAGUGGGGAAUAUUGCACAAUGGGCGAAAGCCUGAUGCAGCAACGCCGCGUGAGGGAUGACGGCCUUCGGGUUGUAAACCUCUUUUAGUAGGGAAGAAGCGAAAGUGACGGUACCUGCAGAAAAAGCACCGGCUAACUACGUGCCAGCAGCCGCGGUAAUACGUAGGGUGCAAGCGUUGUCCGGAAUUAUUGGGCGUAAAGAGCUCGUAGGCGGUUUGUCGCGUCUGCUGUGAAAUCUGGGGGCUCAACCCCCAGCCUGCAGUGGGUACGGGCAGACUAGAGUGCGGUAGGGGAGAUUGGAAUUCCUGGUGUAGCGGUGGAAUGCGCAGAUAUCAGGAGGAACACCGAUGGCGAAGGCAGAUCUCUGGGCCGUAACUGACGCUGAGGAGCGAAAGCAUGGGGAGCGAACAGGAUUAGAUACCCUGGUAGUCCAUGCCGUAAACGUUGGGAACUAGAUGUGGGGGCCAUUCCACGGUCUCCGUGUCGCAGCUAACGCAUUAAGUUCCCCGCCUGGGGAGUACGGCCGCAAGGCUAAAACUCAAAGGAAUUGACGGGGGCCCGCACAAGCGGCGGAGCAUGCGGAUUAAUUCGAUGCAACGCGAAGAACCUUACCAAGGCUUGACAUAUACCGGAAACGUCCAGAGAUGGUCGCCCCGCAAGGUCGGUAUACAGGUGGUGCAUGGUUGUCGUCAGCUCGUGUCGUGAGAUGUUGGGUUAAGUCCCGCAACGAGCGCAACCCUCGUUCUAUGUUGCCAGCACGUUAUGGUGGAACUCAUAGGAGACUGCCGGGGUCAACUCGGAGGAAGGUGGGGAUGACGUCAAAUCAUCAUGCCCCUUAUGUCUUGGGCUUCACGCAUGCUACAAUGGCCGGUACAAAGGGCUGCGAUACCGUAAGGUGGAGCGAAUCCCAAAAAGCCGGUCUCAGUUCGGAUUGAGGUCUGCAACUCGACCUCAUGAAGUCGGAGUCGCUAGUAAUCGCAGAUCAGCAACGCUGCGGUGAAUACGUUCCCGGGCCU
rnacentral:rRNA from 1 species